GCACAGGGUGAGCCCGAGAGAGAUCUGU
rnacentral:piRNA from 1 species